rnacentral:rRNA from 1 species
AACGAACGCUGGCGGCAGGCUUAACACAUGCAAGUCGAGCGCCUGUAGCAAUACAGGAGCGGCAGACGGGUGAGUAACACGUGGGAACGUGCCCAAAGGUACGGAACAACUCCGGGAAACUGGAGCUAAUACCGUAUGUGCCCGAGAGGGGAAAGAUUUAUCGCCUUUGGAUCGGCCCGCGUCUGAUUAGCUAGUUGGUAGGGUAAUGGCCUACCAAGGCGACGAUCAGUAGCUGGUCUGAGAGGAUGGCCAGCCACACUGGGACUGAGACACGGCCCAGACUCCUACGGGAGGCAGCAGUGGGGAAUAUUGGACAAUGGGCGCAAGCCUGAUCCAGCCAUGCCGCGUGAGUGAUGAAGGCCUUAGGGUUGUAAAGCUCUUUCGCCAGGGACGAUAAUGACGGUACCUGGAUAAGAAGCCCCGGCUAACUUCGUGCCAGCCGCCGCCGUAAGAC